UACAGAGGUGGCAAGCGUUGUUCGGAAUUACUGGGCGUAAAGGGCGCGUAGGCGGCCUUCUAAGUCAGACGUGAAAUCCCCCGGCUUAACCUGGGAACUGCGUCUGAUACUGGAGGGCUUGAGUGCGGGAGGGGGAUGUGGAAUUCCAGGUGUAGCGGUGAAAUGCGUAGAUAUCUGGAGGAACACCCGUGGCGAAAGCGGCGCGCUGGACCACUACUGACGCUGAGGAACGAAAGCUAGGGGAGCAAACAGG
rnacentral:rRNA from 1 species